rnacentral:rRNA from 1 species
UACGGAGGGGGCAAGCGUUGUUCGGAUUUACUGGGCGUAAAGGGUGUGUAGGCGGCUGGGCAAGUCUGGUGUGAAAUCUUCACCGCUUAACGGGAAGAGGUCAUUGGAAACUGCCUAGCUCGAGUGUGGUAGAGGCAAGCGGAAUUCCUGGUGUAGCGGUGGAAUGUUUAGAUAUCAGGAAGAACAUCUGUGGCGAAGGCGGCUUGCUGGGCCAUCACUGACGCUGAGACACGAAAGCGUGGGGAGCAAACGGG